rnacentral:rRNA from 1 species
GACGAACGCUGGCGGCGUGCUUAACACAUGCAAGUCGAACGGAAAGGCCCUGCUUUUGUGGGGUGCUCGAGUGGCGAACGGGUGAGUAACACGUGAGUAACCUGCCCUUGACUUUGGGAUAACUUCAGGAAACUGGGGCUAAUACCGGAUAGGAGCUCCUGCUGCAUGGUGGGGGUUGGAAAGUUUCGGCGGUUGGGGAUGGACUCGCGGCUUAUCAGCUUGUUGGUGGGGUAGUGGCUUACCAAGGCUUUGACGGGUAGCCGGCCUGAGAGGGUGACCGGCCACAUUGGGACUGAGAUACGGCCCAGUCUCCUACGGGAGGCAGAAGUGGGGAAUAUUGCACAAUGGGCGGAAGCCUGAUGCAGCAACGCCGCGUGCGGGAUGACGGCCUUCGGGUUGUAAACCGCUUUCGCCUGUGACGAAGCGUGAGUGACGGUAAUGGGUAAAGAAGCACCGGCUAACUACGUG